rnacentral:rRNA from 1 species
AUGGAGCGCACGCCCGAAAUUCUCCGCUUCGUCUUAGCCACACUGGGCGCUGCGCCCAGCGCCGCCAUAACGGUGGCCGACGAAGGGGCACCGGAGGCGGCGACUUCGCCGGAGAUGAGUUCCGUGGCCCCAAGAUCGAAGGCGAAGCUUCGGGUGGAAGCAAGCUGCGAGGCAGCUUCGCAUUAUCAGGCCGUGGAGAUGGAGGCCGCUGCCGCAAUUUCGCCGCAAUUGAGCUCCGCGGAGGUUGCGCCAAGAUCAAAGGCGAACCCACGGGUGGAAGAAAGCUGCGAGGCAGCAGCAGCUUCGCGUGAUCGGGCCGUGGAGAUGGAGGCGGCGGCCGCGAUUUCGCCGCAGAUGACCUCUGAGGAGGUCGCCCUCGCCCCAAGAUUAAAGGCGAAGCUACCGGUGGAGGAAAGCUGCCGCUGCGAGGCCGCUUUCCAUGGUCGGACCUUGGGGAUGGAGGUGGCGGCUCCGACUUCGCCGCAGAUGAGGUCCCAGGUUGCCCCAAGGUCAAAGGCGAAGCCAUCGGUGGAAGAAAGCUGCGAGGCAGCGUCCCAUAGUCGGACCGUGAUGAUGGAGGCCGAGACCGCGAGCUCGUCAUGGAGGAAGGCAGAGGCAGGGGCAGCUACUCCGUUCUCAAGGCAGGCGGCCGUGGAGACCACCGUUUCAUGUAAAGAGAAUCCCGUGGAGGCGACAUGGACGAGGGCCAGAACCCCGUCAAUGAAGAAGGCAGCAGUAGCUACUAGGUUGUCAAGGAGUAUGGCACUGGAAAGAAACAAGAAGGCCAUGCAGACCACCGUGUCAUGUGAAGAGAAGCCCGUGGAGGCGACAUGGACGAGCAGGGCCACGGCCUCGACCAGUGACGAAAAGAAACCUGCUGAUAACCUCACGGGACAACUGAUGGAACACCUUUGCACGGCACCCUGGAGUACAGCUGAUGGGAGCCAGGAUGAAGAUAAGGCAAGGCCAGCAAGGAAGGAACAUUUGCUUGAUUCAUUGUUAUUGGCGACAGUCCCGGGAAGCACCAUGGUGGGCGACGAUGGUGUGGCUGCACACAAUAUUUACAACCAGUAUCAAGACCUCUUUAUCUAUGGUAUGCCACUAUUGUCCUUUUGGUAUCAAAUCUGGAAGUCAAAGCCCUUAGUGUUGCAUGACAAGGAGUUUAUUAGUCCCAUGGAAUUCUUAAGGACAAGGGGGGGAACCCGACCUUCUAGGAGAAGUAGAGAUGAGCACCCUAACUUCACAGCGGAAUUCGCAGCGGUGCUUAGCAAUCACUUGGGUACAAUAAAGUACUUCCGAUUGGACUCAUCCACAUGGUCAGAUGAUCAGUUAACAGCAUUGAUGAGUACCCUCCGCAGCAGGAGUAUAGACGACCUAACCAUGAUAAACAUUGCUUGUUCCACUAAAACAGUGUUCCCAUUGGUUGAUAUGCAUUCUGUCCAGAGCCUCACAAUUGGAUUCUUUAGUAUCAUCCCUGCUAUGGGAAGUUCCUCUCGCAUGUGCAGUUUGAAAGUUCUGAAGUUGAUGUGCUGCAGCUUCGAUAGAUACUGCCUUUAUGAGAUUGUGAACAACCACUGCAAUGUGCUACAGGAACUUCAUAUUGGGUUUUCUGUUGUGGACAUUGCAAUAAGAUCCAACAGCUUAAAGGUUCUGCAAAUCGUUUGUAGCAAGGCGUCCCAAGUCAUUGUUGAGUAUGCUCCACAGCUCCUUGUCCUAUCUACAUCAGUAUCAGCUACAAAAUCAAAAGUGCAACUUAAGGUUGACGGUGUCUUGGCUCUGCAAGAACUUCACUGGAUUCAGUUGACACAACAUCAAUUGGCUGAGGGUAUCAAUAGUAUAUUCAAAAGUCUCCGACUCAUUCACAUUGGCAUCAAUUUCUCAGACAAGGGACACAGAUGUAGACUAUCACAGAUAGUGGAAACUGCUGCUGUGCUGACAACUCUUACAGUGGAGCGAUUGGAUAGAGUCGGAUUGGGUGAAUUGUCCGAGAUGGCCUCUGAUCAUACAUUUACUGGUUUAAAGAAUGCACACUGUGUGAAGCACUCUCUUCGGUUGUUGGAGCUGGAUUCCUCCCAAGGAGGGGAUGCCGAGUCAGAUCUUAUAUGUGCAAUAAUUAAAGGUGCCAAAUCGUUACACCGCGUGAUCUUGGUACCACACAAGAGUAGCUGCCCAAGAACAAUAUCUGAUUCAUUGGAAGAAAUCAGCUCGGCUCCGCAUGCCUCAGCUGAAUGCAGAAUUAUUUUCCAAAAAGAAGAUCGUGGCCAAUGA